CUACGGGAUGCACCAGUGAGGAAUUUUGCGCAAUGGGGGGAACCCUGACGCAGCAACGCCGCGUGAGUGAUGAAGGCUUUCGGGUCGUAAAGCUCUGUCAAGUGGGAAGAACCUAUGCAGUGUUAAUAUCACUGUAUACUGACGGUACCACUGAAGGAAGCACCGGCUAACUCCGUGCCAGCAGCCGCGGUAAUACGGGGGGUGCAAGCGUUAUUCGGAAUCAUUGGGCGUAAAGGGCACGUAGGCGGCUUGGUAAGUCAGAUGUGAAAGCCCGGGGCUUAACCCCGGAAGUGCAUUUGAUACUGUCAGGCUUGAGUAUGGGAGAGGGAAGUGGAAUUCCUGGUGUAGAGGUGAAAUUCGUAGAUAUCAGGAGGAACACCGGUGGCGAAGGCGACUUCCUGGACCAAUACUGACGCUGAGGUGCGAAGGCGUGGGUAGCAAACAGAAUUAGAUACCCUAGUAGUC
rnacentral:rRNA from 1 species